GGCAGGAGCGUGAGGUGAACUGAAUUUCAGUGCACUUCGGGUGUCAUUGUCCCCCAUUUCGCCCAGGUGGGACCGUCUCGUUGCAGAGAAACAAGCACAGGGCUCUCACUGAUUGAGCGUUAUGACAAAAAUGACUCCAAGAUUCCUCACAGUGUUCCUGAAGGCCAAGGUAAUGCCAUCCCAAUUCCUGUCAGUGGAGGAACUCUUAUUCCCCUGAUAUCGCCCCACAGAAUGCUUGCUUGUAGCUGAGCACUGAGCCUCAUCAAUGGAGCCAUUGUCAACUGGCAGCCUGUGCACAUGCUGUAAAACCUGAAGUGCCAAAAGGUAUGAGAUAAAAUACUUGUAGUGAAAACCUUUGUCCACAAUUCUAUGAAUUUGGUGUGUUUGGUGACAACAUGACUGCUCCUCAUAAUCUGCUACCAAACUGUUAUAGUAGCAGUAACUUCAGACAACACAAUAUGGAUAUGCAAAAGAGGCCACC
ensembl:lncRNA